CUACGGGGGGCUGCAGUGAGGAAUAUUGCACAAUGGGGGGAACCCUGAUGCAGCAACGCCGCGUGGAGGAUGACGCAUUUCGGUGUGUAAACUCCUUUUAUAUGUCAAGAAAAUGACGGUAGCAUAUGAAUAAGCACCGGCUAACUCCGUGCCAGCAGCCGCGGUAAUACGGAGGGUGCAAGCGUUACUCGGAAUCACUGGGCGUAAAGGACGCGUAGGCGGGUUGGAAAGUCAGGUGUGAAAUCCUACAGCUUAACUGUAGAACUGCACUUGAAACUUCUAAUCGAGAGUAUGGGAGGGGGAGAUGGAAUUAGUGGUGUAGGGGUCAAAUCCGUAGAUAUCACUAGGAAUACCUAAAGCGAAGGCGAUCUCCUGGAACAUUACUGACGCUAAGGCGUGAAAGCGUGGGGAGCAAACAGGAUUAGAUACCCCGGUAGUC
rnacentral:rRNA from 1 species